UGGACAGGGAACAACCUGACUGAUUCAAAAUCAGGAAAGGAGUACGGCAAGGCUUUAUACUGUCACCUGCUUGUUUAACUACUAUGCAGAGCACAUCAUGCGAACUACCAGGCUGGGAGAAUCACAAGCUGGAAUCAAGAUUGCCGGGAGAAAUAUCAACAACCUCAGAUGUGCAGAUGAUACCAUUCUAAUAGCAGAAAGCAAA